CAGUGAAUCAGAUGUUACUAAGAACUCUUCAUCUACAAGUCUUCAACGCCAGUUUAAAGUUUUUCGAGCUCAAGUUUCAAAUUGAAUUAAUAAUUUGCGUGAGGUGUUUAUUGUUAGAUUCCAUUUGAAUAACUGCAACCAUGAGUUACUACGUUUAUCAGUGUUCAGCAACGGUGUUGCCAGCCGAUCCGUUUGAUGCGGAAGAGGACGCGGGAGUUCUGCGGAAGGCGAUGAAGGGCUUCGGCACAGAUGAGCAGGCCAUCAUAGAUGUGCUCGGCCAUCGGUCCAUUGUGCAGCGGCUAGAGAUCGAAACCGCCUUCAAAACACUCUAUGGCAAGGACUUGAUCAGCGACCUGAAGAGUGAGCUGGGCGGCAACUUUGAGGACGCCGUGUUGGCUCUGAUGACUCCUCUGCCCGACUUCUACGCCAAGGAGCUUCAUGACGCCGUGGCGGGCAUUGGCACAGAUGAGGCGGCCAUAGUCGAAGUGCUCUGCUCCCUCAGCAACUAUGGCAUUCGCACCAUUUCUGCCGUCUACCAGAAGUUGUACGAAAACUCUUUGGAAGAUGAUCUGAAAAGCGACACUUCUGGACACUUCAAGCGCCUGUUAGUCUCUUUGUGCCAGGCUAAUCGUGAUGAAAACUUGGAUGUAGAUGAAGAAGCAGCUGUGAAGGACGCUGAAGAACUGGUUGCAGCAGGACAAGACCAGUGGGGAACGGAUGAAUCUAUAUUCAACUCAAUCCUCGUGUCUCGCUCGUACCCUCAGCUGAGACGCAUCUUCCAGGAAUACCAGAACCUCACAGGAAACGAUAUCGAGGAAACUAUCAAGUCAGAAGUUGGAGGAAGUUUGGAGGAUGGAUUCCUCUCUAUUGUGAGAUGUGUGAAGAACAAGUCUCGCUUCUUUGCUGAGAGACUGGAGGAUAGCAUGGCAGGAAUGGGAACCAAUGACCGCACUCUGAUCCGCAUCGUGGUCGGUCGAUCCGAGAUUGAUCUGGGAGACAUCAAGUCCGAGUACUAUGAGAUCUAUGGCAAGCCCCUGGAAGAGCGCAUUGCUGGUGAUUGUUCUGGGGAUUACAAACGUCUAUUGCUGGCUUUGGUUUCGUAAAUGCUGUCAAUGCGCUUUUUAUGUGGGGUGGAAAUCAGUCUCCAAGACACGAACUUUAAAGUUUGCACAAAGUGAUUGUACAUCGGAUUUCAAAAGCAUUCUCCUCGCACUUGUUGGCUGAAGUAGAGAUUUUACAUCCUAAAAUUAUUUUAGUCCAGCGUAGAAUAUUGUGGGUAGCUGUUGGUGUCAACUAUUUCAAUAUUUCUGUCAACUAUUUCAAUAUUGUUGUCAACUAUUUCAAUAAUGUUGUCAACUAUUUCAAUAUUGUUGUCAACUAUUUCAAUAUUGUUGUCAACUAUUUGAAUAUUGUUGUCAACUAUUGUUGGCUGAAGUAGAGAUUUUACAUCCUAAAAUUAUUUUAGUCCAGCGUAGAAUAUUGUGGGUAGCUAUUGGUGUCAACUAUUUCAAUAUUGUUGUCAACUAUUUCAAAAUUGUUGUCAACUAUUUCAAUAUUGUAUUUAUUAUAUUGUUCUCAGAAUGACCUCACAUGUGACUACAAAGGUCUCCUUGUCGCACUGCUUGGAUAAACUGUCAAGUUUUACACAUUACAUAUUAUAUCCCAUUACUAGUAAAACCCUAUAUAUUUAUUAAAUAUUAAUCCUAUUAACUUACAUUUAAUCAGUAUUAUGUGCUUAAAAAAUGUUUAAUCUUGAUGUCUAUUUAUAUCGAUGUUAAAUUAUGUAUGUUGAAAAAUUAUGCUUAAUUCCAAAUAUUUCCUUAGUGUUAUAUCAAAGAGAAACAAUAGCAUAAGUAGAUAUCCCAUGGUAUAGGACGUUUAUAUAGCAACUUUUACUGUUAUCUCAAGCUGAUAGUCCAAGUAGUUCUUUCCUGUGAAGCUUUAUGACGCUGGUAGUCUCUCAUAUUGUGCCGUUCAUACACUCUUACCCGGUCAAAACAGUAAUAAUCGACAGUAAUCGGCUAAUAUCUACUUACGCUAUUGUUUCUCUAUGGUUAUAUGUAGUUGCUCAUUGUGGCAUUUCAAUGUAUCCUAAUCAAGAAUCGGUUGGAAACCAUUUUUUAUCUACUGGUUUAAAAUUGUUCGAUACAAUCUUCAAGUAUAAGUUGAUAGACACAAUCCUGAUAGAAUCACUUCACCUAUAUGGGCCUCUUUAUUCAAAUUAAUAAAAGCAAUAUACAAAACCUGUAGUACCCUUUUAUUAAAACAUUUUAACGUCUAGUUUCGACCUACUUUGGCCAUUUUCAAGUUAAAAUGUAAACAUUGAAAUGAUGAUAGAAAAAAAUUUGACUGAGUAAUUGUCAAUAUUGUAGAGCCGUUCCAUAAUUGAAUAAAAACACACAUAUGUUGUCAAAUUCUACACAGUUGACUUAGAAACAGUUGUCUGUGUGUUUUUAUUCAAUUAUGAUAGAAAACUUAAAAUGCUUACAUUUUAACAAGUUUUAUAUUGUUUUUAUCAAUUACAAUCCUGAUGCACGUCUCAAUACAAUAGUCUCCCAAAGCUAGAUAAACAACGAUUUUGACCUAUGGUAAUAGGGCAAGGAAAGUAAAAAAGUGAAUAUGUUAAAAUCAUACAAUGUCUUUUAAUGGGAAUGAGCAUUGUGGAAGCUUAGCUUUGAAAUGUAAAAAUGAAGAAUACAUUAAAAGCUAAAGCUGCUUUUUGAUAUAGGCUCAACUGAGAAAUAUAAAUCAGUUCCACACAAUGUGUAUUGCUUCAACGAAUUAGUCUAUCGGUUUAAUUUAAUUUUCCUUCUGAAAAAAAGCCUUAAACAUUAUAAAACCUAAAUCCAUAUAAAUAUUAUAUUUUUGAGAUGUCAGAUGUUCACAGGAUAGCAUAGUAUCUAAAUUAU